CCUAUGGAGAGUACAAGAACUUGUGAGUAGAUAGAUAUUUAUAUCAUCAAAAGCAUACUCGUUGAAGUAGGAA
rfam:Ruminococcus sp. SR1/5 draft genome.